rnacentral:rRNA from 1 species
AUUGAACGCUGGCGGCAGGCCUAACACAUGCAAGUCGAACGAGUGGCGGACGUGUGAGUCAUGUCUGGGAAACUCCCUUAUGGAGGGUGAUAACUCCUGGAAACGGUCGCUAAUACCGCCUACCAUCAUAUGUGCCCAGAUGGCAUUAGCUCGUUUGUGGGGUAACGGAGCACCAAGGCGACGAUCAACAGCUGGUCUGAGAGGAUGACCUGCAACACUGGAACUGAGACACGGUCCAGACUCCUACAGGAGGCAGCAGUGGGGAAUAUUGCACAAUGGGUGGAAGCCUGAUGCAGCCAUGCCGCGUGUAUGAAGAAGGCCUUCGGGUUGUAAAGUACUUUCAGCGGGGAGGCGUGACCCGCAGAAGAAGCACCGGCUAACUCCGUGCCAGCAGCCGCGGUAAUUC